rnacentral:rRNA from 1 species
GAUGAACGCUGGCGGCGUGCCUAAUACAUGCAAGUCGAGCGAACAGACGAGGAGCUUGCUCCUCUGACGUUAGCGGCGGACGGGUGAGUAACACGUGGAUAACCUACCUAUAAGACUGGGAUAACUUCGGGAAACCGGAGCUAAUACCGGAUAAUAUAUUGAACCGCAUGGUUCAAUAGUGAAAGACGGUUUUGCUGGCACUUAUAGAUGGAUCCGCGCCGCAUUAGCUAGUUGGUAAGGUAACGGCUUACCAAGGCAACGAUGCGUAGCCGACCUGAGAGGCUGAUCGGCCACACUGGAACUGAGACACGGUCCAGACUCCUACGGGAGGCAGCAGUAGGGAAUCUUCCGCAAUGGGCGAAAGCCUGACGGAGCAACGCCGCGUGAGUGAUGAAGGUCUUCGGAUCGUAAAACUCUGUUAUUAGGGAAGAACAAAUGUGUAAGUAACUAUGCACGUCUUGACGGUACCUAAUCAGAAAGCCACGGCUAACUACGUG